rnacentral:rRNA from 1 species
ACGUACACUCCUGCGGGAGGCAGCAGUAGGGAAUCUUCCACAAUGGGUGCAAACCUGAUGGAGCAAUGCCGCGUGAGUGAAGAAGGUCUUCGGAUCGUAAAGCUCUGUUGUUAGAGAAGAACACGUGCUAGGUAACUACUAGCGCCUUGACGGUAUCUAACCAGAAAGUCACGGCUAACUACGUGCCAGCAGCCGCGGUAAUACGUAGGUGACAAGCGUUGUCCGGAUUUAUUGGGCGUAAAGGGAGCGCAGGCGGUCUGUUUAGUCUAAUGUGAAAGCCCACGGCUUAACCGUGGAACGGCAUUGGAAACUGACAGACUUGAAUGUAGAAGAGGAAAAUGGAAUUCCAAGUGUAGCGGUGGAAUGCGUAGAUAUUUGGAGGAACACCAGUGGCGAAGGCGAUUUUCUGGUCUAACAUUGACGCUGAGGCUCGAAAGCGUGGGGAGCGAACAGGAUUAGAAACCCUAGUAGUCCCAUGA